rnacentral:rRNA from 1 species
GGGCCCGCACAAGCGGUGGAGUAUGUGGUUUAAUUCGAUGCAACGCGAAGAACCUUACCAGGGUUUGACAUCCUGCGAAUCUCUUGGAAACAGGAGAGUGCCUUCGGGAACGCAGUGACAGGUGGUGCAUGGCUGUCGUCAGCUCGUGUCGUGAGAUGUUGGGUUAAGUCCCGCAACGAGCGCAACCCACGUCUUUAGUUGCCAGCAGUUCGGCUGGGCACUCUAAGGAAACUGCCCGUGAUAAGCGGGAGGAAGGUGUGGAUGACGUCAAGUCCUCAUGGCCCUUACGACCAGGGCUACACACGUGCUACAAUGGUAGGUACAGAGGGCAGCUACACAGCGAUGUGAUGCGAAUCUCAAAAAGCCUAUCGUAGUCCAGAUUGGAGUCUGCAACUCGACUCCAUGAAGUAGGAAUCGCUAGUAAUCG